GAUGAAGAACGCAGCGAAAUGCGAUAAGUAAUGUGAAUUGCAGAAUUCAGUGAAUCAUCGAAUCUUUGAACGCACAUUGCGCCCCUUGGUAUUCCGGGGGGCAUGCCUGUCCGAGCGUCAUUACAACCCUCAAGCUCAGCUUGGUGUUGGGCCCCGCCGCCCCGGCGGGCCCUAAAGUCAGUGGCGGUGCCGUCCGGCUCCGAGCGUAGUAAUUCUUCUCGCUCUGGAGGUCCGGUCGUGUGCUCGCCAGCAACCCCCAAUUUUUUUCAGGUUGACCUCGGAUCAGGUAGGGAUACCCGCUGAACUUAAGCAUAUCAAUAAGCGGAGGA
rnacentral:misc_RNA from 1 species